UGCAUAAUAGAAGAGAACGUAUUUUGUAA
rnacentral:sRNA from 1 species